GGGAAAUAAGCUAUGAAAGUAAGCAAGAAAUUAAAGUGCAAGAAAUACAAACUAGGCGGAUCCUAAGAGUGUUUGGAUGAUCUUAUUUAAGGUUCCCAACAAAACACUCACUAUCCUAAGGGAAAAUUGCCUAAAAUUAUUACACACAAAUGGAAGUAGGGUGACCUAUUGGAGGCUCCCAACUUACUUCCAAUGAAAGGCCUUUUUGUUACAAAAUUUGAAAGCAAAGCAAAUUGUCAAUUACAAAAUUACAAAAAAAAAAGUCCUCAAUUGUGGUGGC
rnacentral:lncRNA from 1 species